UAGAGUGUGUCAGAGGGGGGUAGAAUUCCAAGUGUAGCAGUGAAAUGCGUAGAGAUUUGGAGGAAUACCAAUGGCGAAGGCAGCUCCCUGGGAUAACACUGACGCUCAUGCACGAAAGCGUGGGGAGCAAACAGGAUUAGAUACCCUGGUAGUCCACGCCCUAAACGAUGUCUACUAGUUGUUGGUGGAGUAAAAUCCAUGAGUAACGCAGCUAACGCGUGAAGUAGACCGCCUGGGGAGUACGGUCGCAAGAUUAAAACUCAAAUGAAUUGACGGGGGCCCGCACAAGCGGUGGAUUAUGUGGAUUAAUUCGAUGCAACGCGAAAAACCUUACCUGGCCUUGACAUGUACCGAAUUUAGCAGAGAUGCUUUAGUGCUCGAAAGAGAACGGUAACACAGGUGCUGCAUGGCUGUCGUCAGCUCGUGUCGUGAGAUGUUGGGUUAAGUCCCGCAACGAGCGCAACCCUUGCCAUUAAUUGCCAUCAUUUAGUUGGGCACUUUAAUGGGACUGCCGGUGACAAACCGGAGGAAGGUGGGGAUGACGUCAAGUCCUCAUGGCCCUUAUGGCCAGGGCUUCACACGUAAUACAAUGGUCGGUACAGAGGGAAGCCAACCCGCGAGGGGGAGCCAAUCUCAGAAAGCCGGUCGUAGUCCGGAUUGUUGUCUGCAACUCGACAGCAUGAAGUCGGAAUCGCUAGUAAUCGCGGAUCAGCAUGUCGCGGUGAAUACGUUCCCGGGCCUUGUACACACCGCCCGUCACACCAUGGAGUGGGUUUUACCAGAAGUAGUUAGUCUAUCCGCAAGGGGGACGAUUACCACGGUAGGAUUCAUGACUGGGGUGAAGUCGUAACAAGGUAACCGUA
rnacentral:rRNA from 1 species